rnacentral:rRNA from 1 species
AACGAACGCUGGCGGCAGGCUUAACACAUGCAAGUCGAGCGCAUCCUUCGGGGUGAGCGGCAGACGGGUGAGUAACGCGUGGGAACGUACCCUUUCCUACGGAAUAGCUCCGGGAAACUGGAAUUAAUACCGUAUACGCCCUUAGGGGGACAGAUUUAUCGGGGAAGGAUCGGCCCGCGUUGGAUUAGCUAGUUGGUGGGGUAAAGGCCUACCAAGGCGACGAGCCAUAGCUGGUCUGAGAGGAUGAUCAGCCACAUGGGGACUGAGACACGGCCCAAACUCCUACGGGAGGCAGCAGUGGGGAAUAUUGGACAAUGGGCGCAAGCCUGAGCCAGCCAUGCCGCGUGGGUGAUGAAGGCCUUAGGGUUGUAAAGCUCUUUCAGUAGGGAAGAGAAGGACGGUACCUACAGAAGAAGCCCCGGCUAACUUCGUGCCAGCCGCCGCGGUAA